rnacentral:rRNA from 1 species
AUUGAACGCUGGCGGCAUGCCUUACACAUGCAAGUCGAACGGCAGCACGGGGCAACCUGGUGGCGAGUGGCGAACGGGUGAGUAAUGCAUCGGAACGUACCUUUCAGUGGGGGAUAACGUAGCGAAAGUUACGCUAAUACCGCAUAUUCUGUGAGCAGGAAAGCAGGGGAUCGCAAGACCUUGCGCUGAUUGAGCGGCCGAUGUCAGAUUAGCUAGUUGGUGAGGUAAGGGCUCACCAAGGCGACGGUCUGUAGCGGGUCUGAGAGGAUGAUCCGCCACACUGGAACUGAGACACGGUCCAGACUCCUACGGGAGGCAGCAGUGGGGAAUUUUGGACAAUGGGGGCAACCCUGAUCCAGCCAUGCCGCGUGAGUGAAGAAGGCCUUCGGGUUGUAAAGCUCUUUCGGCCGGGAAGAAAUCGCACGGGCUAAUACCCUGUGUGGAUGACGGUACCGGAAUAAGAAGCACCGGCUAACUACGUGCCAGCAGCCGCCGUAAAAC